GCCCCAGAGUGGGUGUGGUCACGCUGCCCAGCAGUGGGCGGUGAUUGGCCCUGGGCGGUGCAAUCGCAGCUUGUGCGUCACGACGCCGCCAGCUGAUCGGAGCCUGGAGCCGGUGUGUGCUGGGCGCAGGGAAGACACAGCGCCGCCGGCCGUGGGGGACGGACGCACUGAUUUGCUCCCCUACCCUCAGCAGCCCCCCCACCCAGCACCAGGUGGGUGUGAGCUGGGGUCUCCGCCGCACAGGAGGGAACCGUGCUAACAGGGUAACGGGGGAAAGUAGGGUCCUGGUGGCCACACCCUGCCCUUCCGGGGGAGGGGAGAGGGGGCGGCGGGGGUAGGGGAGCUUUGGGGCAGAGGGGCCUGAACUGGCUGGAGUAGUGUGGCAGGAGGUUUAAAGAAGGAGCCAGGACAGCAGUAGUGGCGGAAGGUUUUGCAGAGUGGCUAAAAGGGAGACGAGGGGCUGGAGGGCUGGGGGCAGCUAACCUGGGCGCCCCCUGGUCAAAGGAUAUGAGAACUGGCCUUCUAGCUUGCGGAGGGUUUGGACCCGGCGGGUAGUGAGGAGGUAGUUUUCCUUUACUGGCAGUCAGUGGGUCAGGGCCAAUUGAGCGCCCUGGCAGGGAAGGGGUCUCUGGGCGGGCCGGCCCCUCCUCUCGUUCCCUCCAGGGGAUGUUAUGUAAGGGGGGAGGGGAGAGGAGUAGGGGGCGGCGGUGCGGGGGCCUUAUGCAACCCAAAGGUUAGGGUUUCACCGCGGUUGGUGGGGGAAGCGGGCUGGAGGAGGACCUGGAAACUCUAACCCCCCCUCCCCAGCCUAACUGGCCGUCUUGGGCCCAGAGAAGGUCACCUCUGCACCUCCCCCCAGCAUGUCCGGUUGUGGGGCCCCUAGCCCAGGCCUGGCCCUGACCGCCUGGGAAGCCGGCUGACUGGGUGGGGCGCCUGGGUUAGUCAUCACUGGGCUCCCUCUCUCCCCACCUCUCGGCCAACUCUUGGCCCCUCCCUAUGGCCUCUCGCUAGGCUAUCGCCCCCACCUCCCUCCGGCCCUAGUUACAGCCUCCAACUCAUUUGGCCUGUCAUCCUGGCUGUCAGACUGGGCUAGGAAUUGUCAGGGUGCCAAAGGGUUGAUGGAGCAGCUGGUCAGAGGGUCAGUGCCCUGGGCCCACCCCGCCCUGCAGCCAAGGGCACCUGCUUGGCACAGACUCUGAGCAGCCGCUGAGUCCUAUGGGCUGAAUAGAGCUGGCUCAGACAGAGGAGAGUGGGAAGGAGUUGGACUGGUCACCUGGGGGAAGGAAGAUACCACAAAGUUCAUGUCUCCCUAGAGGGUUUUGUAAUUUGAAAACCUCCCACCCCCACCCUAGUCUUUCUUAUCCUCUGAGUAUAGAAGUCUGAAAGCAAGACCGCCUUGGCCGCUCACACUGGCAUGGGCCAUGCCCUUGGACUGAGUGUCAGCACAGACCCGCCCUCCCCAGCUCUCAGCCCUCUAGCCUGCCACGCCCCCAGCCCCCUCCCUGGGCCAUGCUGCAGGGCCCGGCUUUUCCUGCUGAUUCAUGCGUUGGAACUGUGGGGGCGGGGCUUGGAACUUGGAACAAAGUUCAGACAUGGAGGGGCCGGCAGACAGCCUGGAAUUCAUACCAGAUGUACCCGGAAUGCGCAAGCGGAAUGCCUGGCAUUUGAGAGUCUUGGGGAAGCUGCCCAUCCACCCUGCCCAUACCUCCCUCCCCUCCAGCCUUUGGUCCCCUGUCCUCUCCUCACAGUCCCUGGAGCCUCUGCUGACCUUCCAAACACUUCCUUACUCUUCCCCAGAUGUAGGCCCCCAAAACUCUUCUAGCUGAACUCUUUGGGAACAAGUCAGUUGGGCUGAUCACUGAACUCACAUUUUUGGACCUAAGGUACAACUUCUCACCAAGUACCUGGGCGAUUGGUGGGACGUGUCCAAGGUUCUAAGUCCUGCCCUCUCUGAAUGCUGAAGAGGAGGGGCCCUUCGUGGGUAGCUGAGGCAAGGGGUGGGGGGUGGGGUGAGAGCAGGCCUGGGUCUCUACAGCCUUCAGUUCUGGAAAGAGGUGCAAGGAGGUAUGUUUAGAGCUGCCUCUUGCUUCUCACUGAAGUCAACCGCUCCUGCAGGCCCAAGUCAAAGCCAAGAACCCUUUGUUACAAGGUUGAGCAUCUGUUGGAGCUGGACUUUGAUGCCAGUGGGACAGUGCCCCUGUGACAUGGCCCUGCUUAGAUCCUUCCCAUUUUUCUUCCCUUUCCUUUUAGGAGCCUGUCCCUCCCACAUCCUCAACUGGCUGAGCCGCAGUAGUUCUUCAGUGGCAAGCUUUAUGUCCUGACCCAGCUAAAGCUGCCAGUUGAAGAACUGUUGCCCUCUGCCCCUGGCUUCAAGGAGGAGGAGGAAGAGGAGAAGGAGCUGCUUUCCCCCUCAUCUGGAAGGUGACGGAACUGGGGCUGGGAAGGUCAGAACAGCGGGAGUGGUGAUGCCUUUUGGAAAAGGGAACCUUGUUCAGUUGGAGACCCUUCAGCCAGAUUGGCCCAGCAAGAGAGAACAGUUGUAGAUUAGAGACCCUCGUUGGGCUGGGGACUAGAUGGCUGUGACUACCCAAGGUUAGUUGGUCUACAUCAGUGUGUGACAAAGGGAAGACAAUGGGAGCAAAGAAAACUGGCAACACCUUUACUCAGAUGUCUUUCUUGACCCUCCUUCCUGUCUCCCUUUCUUUCCUACUGCCUUUCCAGGUGAGGUCCAAAGUAAAUUUCAUCUUCAGGGAAGAGGUCAUACUGAAACUCCCAUCUGAGUAGUCAACCCCAUGCUCUUAGCUUUCCCUGUAUUUCCUCAGACUGGCCUAGACUCCAGUUACAGGGAUAAAUCACCUAUAGUGGGACCCUUGGGCCUCUUGUCUCAGCUUCAACACCUGUGAGAUGCAGAAUCAUACAGUUGAAUGUGCAGGAGGGAAUCAGAAGCCUACUGUGCAGACUCAGAGCCUGGGCUCUCCUCUCCCUGUGGGUGGGAACAAAACAGCUUUUCAUAUAAGCUGUUGCCCCUCCCCCAUCCCUAACCAACACAACCCCAGGAGCUGGGGGUGGGGGGAGGAUUAGAGGGAGGGGGCUAGAGUUAGACCAGGGCUAGGGGCUGGAGGAGCUCAGUCUCUACAUUGACUUCCCACCAUGCAAAGGCGGCCCCAGGUUUCCUCUGCCACCCAAAACAGAACUGUAGCCCCUGAUGGGGUUCCAACUGCUGUUCCUCUGUUUCUUCUCUCACUUUACCUUCCAGGAUAAUUUGUGAGACUCAGCUCAGGCUUAUGAGGCAGGAAAUUCUCUCCAGCAACCAGGCGAGAUGGGUUGUGGGAUGUGACCCCCUCUGGGGAAUCAAGCUGUGUAAACCUAGCACCCCUGGCUCCUGAUGCCAUGUAACUCUUGGGGCUCAGGCUCUGGUGUGGUUCAACCGUGGCCCAGCCUCCCUGCCUGAAGGUGGCCAAAUUCAGGGGCUGCAGAAAGCUGUCCCGCUGUGGGGCACAAGAUGUACAGGUAGCUGGGUCCUUUUCUCCAUUUAUGAGAGAGAUUUAGGGGAGAGUAGAUCAUUGAACCCACCCUUCUGCAGCCUAGGCUGGAUGUGUGUGGGAUUGCAGUGGAGGGGGUGGGUAGACUGGGUCCACUCAUAGGCUGCAACAAAGAUUGUUCUGUCCCUGGACAUUGCUUCCGUCCUUUCUUCCCCUCUCCGCUUCACUGGCCACAGUGUCUCCCUCCAGCCCUGGGUAUGUGGCUCUGCCAUCCUCACCCGUCAUGGAGCAGAGAUGAGGAAGAGCAGCCUGGGAACACAGAGGCAGGCAGAAGACCAGUGAAGGACCAGGCCCGGAGAGCACAGGGCCCUGUCUGGGCACCCCGCAGAGGGGACCCAUAAAGGCCAGGAGCACCCCAGGAGGAGGGAGGACGGCCAGCCUCCAUCAAGAACAAGCUCCCGGCCACUGGCUUCAUUCACUAUUUCUCUCCAGUGUCACUACCUCCCUGAGAUAUGAGACUGUGUUAAAAUGUCCUGUUGCUUCAUCCUCCUACUUCUACUCCCUACCCUAUAGAGUGAUAUAAAGCAGCCUCAAGGAGCAAGAACCAGCUGUGAAAGGACAUAUGUAGGGAAUUCAUAGA
rnacentral:lncRNA from 1 species